AGUGAACGCUGGCGGUAGGCCUAACACAUGCAAGUCGAACGGCAGCACAGUACGAGCUUGCUCUUACGGGUGGCGAGUGGCGGACGGGUGAGGAAUACAUCGGAAUCUACUUUUUCGUGGGGGAUAACGUAGGGAAACUUACGCUAAUACCGCAUACGACCUACGGGUGAGAGCAUGGGAUCUUCGGACCUUGCGCGAUUGAAUGAGCCGGUGUCGGAUUAGCUGGUUGGCGGGGUACAGGCCCACCAAGGCGACGAUGCGUAGCUGGUCUGAGAGGAUGAUCAGCCACACGAGAAGUGAGACACGGCCGAGACUUCUGCGAGAGGCCAGAGUGGGAAAUUGUGCACAAGGGGCGAACGCCUGAUAGAGCCAGACCGCGUGGGUGAAGAAGGCCUUGGGGGUGAAAAGCCCUUUUGUGGGGAAAAAAGAGCAGAAGGAUAAUACCGCGGUGUUGACGCGGCACCCAAAAAAAGAACAGGGGCUAUCUGCG
rnacentral:rRNA from 1 species